rnacentral:rRNA from 1 species
GAUGAACGCUGGCGGCGUGCUUAACACAUGCAAGUCGAACCGAAAGGCCACAGCUUGCUGUGGUACUCGAGUGGCGAACGGGUGAGUAACACGUGGGUGAUCUGCCCUGUACUUCGGGAUAAGCUUGGGAAACUGGGUCUAAUACCGGAUAGGAAUCACAUGUGGGUGUGUGGUUGGAAAGCUUUUGCGGUAUGGGAUGAGCUCGCGGCCUAUCAGCUUGUUGGUGGGGUAAUGGCCUACCAAGGCGUCGACGGGUAGCCGGCCUGAGAGGGUGUACGGCCACAUUGGGACUGAGAUACGGCCCAGACUCCUACGGGAGGCAGCAGUGGGGAAUAUUGCACAAUGGGAGCAAGCCUGAUGCAGCGACGCCGCGUGGGGGAUGACGGCCUUCGGGUUGUAAACUCCUUUCGUCAGGGACGAAGCGAAAGUGACGGUACCUGGAGAAGAAGCACCGGCUAACUACGUG